GACGAACGCUGGCGGCGUGCUUAACACAUGCAAGUCGAACGGAAAGGCCCUGCUUUUGUUGGGUGCUCGAGUGGCGAACGGGUGAGUAACACGUGAGUAACCUGCCCUUGACUUUGGGAUAACUUCAGGAAACUGGGGCUAAUACCGGAUAGGAUCUCCUGCUGCAUGGUGGGGGUUGGAGAGUUUCGGCGGUUGGGGAUGGACUCGCGGCUUAUCCGCUUGUUGGUGGGGUAGUGGCUUACCAAGGCUUUGACGGGUAGCCGGCCUGAGAGGGUUACCGGCCACAUUGGGACUGAGAUACGGCCCAGAAGCCUACGGGAGGCAGCAGUGGGGAAUAUUGCACAAUGGGCGGAAGCCUGAUGCAGAAACGCCGCGUGCGGGAUGACGGCCUUCGGGUUGUAAACCGCUUUCGCCUGUGACGAAGCGUGAGUGACGGUAAUGGGUAAAGAAGCACCGGCUAACUACGUG
rnacentral:rRNA from 1 species